CACCGCGGUUAUACGAAAAGCCCAAAACAACGACUAAUGGCGUAAAAUGUGACUAGAGACCUGUCUAUUUAAAAACAUUAAAACCUGCAACCCAGCUGUAAAAUACUAAGAGGGGUAGAGGAAUACCAAUACAACUGUUUUAAUAAAACACUCUUGAACCCACGAAAGCUUAGAAA
rnacentral:rRNA from 1 species